CUUGGAAGACUGGCUCUAGAGAUUUCAUGUUUAGGUUUUAUAAGUCAGGGGAACGAGUUUUCAUACUACAUGAUGAUAUGCUCAAGUUUUAUCCUUAAUCAUACCCAAAAGGUUGGUGAAUGGACAAUAUAUCCCUGGAUCCACAGCAAUAGCAACUCACUUUCAGAUAGUGAUCAACUUCGUCCUGUUCCAAUACCAGACAUCCAUCCCGCAAG
rnacentral:misc_RNA from 1 species